AAGUCGUAACAAGGUUUCCGUAGGUGAACCUGCGGAAGGAUCAUCAUUGAAUAAACUUGCACAGGUUGUUGCUGGCUCUCUGGGGCAUGUGCACGCCUGUCAUCUUUAUUUCUCCAACUGUGCACAUAUUGUAGACCUGGAGUUUUUGUUCUGAAAUCAUUUUCGAGUUGGGACUGCUGUGCUUCAUUCAGUUGAGGUGGGCUUUUCCUUACAUUUCUGGGUCUAUGUCAUUUCACAACCUCAUUUAGAAUGUCGAACCUAUAAAAGUUAAAUAUACAACUUUCAGCAACGGAUCUCUUGGCUCUCGCAUCGAUGAAGAACGCAGCGAAAUGCGAUAAGUAAUGUGAAUUGCAGAAUUCAGUGAAUCAUCGAACCUUUGAACGCACCUUGCGCCCCUUGGCAUUCCGAGGGGCACACCCGUUUGAGUGUCGUGAAAUCUUCAAAACCCUUUUUUCUUUGAACCAUUGUGGUCGGGAAAAGGACUUUUGGACUUGGAGGUUUAAUGCUCACCCUUUCUUUUGAAAGUGAGCUCCUCUCAAAUGAAUUAGUGGGGUCCGCUUUGCUGAUCCUUGACGUGAUAAAAUGUUUCUACGUUUUGGGUUUAGCACUGUCCCUUGGAUGCCUGCUGCUAACCGUCUCAUUGACAAUGAUGGUGCUCCGGUCACUGCCGUCUACGUCGGCGGGAGGCUGGACCCACAAAAAGAAAACCUUGACCUCAAAUCGGGUGAGACUACCCGCUGAACUUAAGCAUAUCAAUAAGCGGAGGAAAAGAAACUAACAAGGAUUCCCCUAGUAACUGCGAGUGAAGCGGGAAAAGCUCAAAUUUAAAAUCUGGUGGUCUUUGGCCAUCCGAAUUGUAAUUUAGAGAA
rnacentral:misc_RNA from 1 species